rnacentral:lncRNA from 1 species
AUGCGGAUACUGCGCAUGCGCAGACGGCAGGAGGCGACACUGUCCACCUCGCUGAGGUGCCUCCAUGGCCGCGGUGAGACAUGGGGGAGAGCCGAUGCUGGUCCGCACUCCGGCGCCUUUCCGAGGCGGUGUCGCCUGCUCAGAACUCCUUGUGCGUGGAUGGCCGAGUCUGGAGCCUCGCAUCUGCCGCACACUCAGUACGCGGCCGCUGCGCUGCGGGAAGAGGAGGAGGCGACGCACGGCAUGCGCCCCUCCCUUUCGGGAGGUAUGGUUCGGCCCGCGGGAGGCGCGCCGGUUUUGCGCGGCGGCCGUGGCUGCUGAGGGAGCUGCGGUGUGAGGCUGCGGUUAUUGGCACUGCUUGUCUUCGAAAUCGGGCACUUACCUCUAAUGAAAGCAAUGGAAGUUGGUCAGUGGCCGGAGCAUGCACCAGCAUGACCAAAAGAUGUCCGACGAGUAUGGUUUCCAGUGUGUUUUCCUGGUGA